GACGAACGCUGGCGGCGUGCUUAACACAUGCAAGUCGAACGGAAAGGCCCUGCUUGCAGGGUACUCGAGUGGCGAACGGGUGAGUAACACGUGGGUGAUCUGCCCUGCACUUCGGGAUAAGCCUGGGAAACUGGGUCUAAUACCGGAUAGGAGCCAUUUUUAGUGUGAUGGUUGGAAAGUUUUUUCGGUGUAGGAUGAGCUCGCGGCCUAUCAGCUUGUUGGUGGGGUAAUGGCCUACCAAGGCGGCGACGGGUAGCCGGCCUGAGAGGGUGGACGGCCACAUUGGGACUGAGAUACGGCCCAGACUCCUACGGGAGGCAGCAGUGGGGAAUAUUGCACAAUGGGCGCAAGCCUGAUGCAGCGACGCCGCGUGGGGGAUGACGGCCUUCGGGUUGUAAACGCCUUUCGCUAGGGACGAAGCUUUUUGUGACGGUACCUAGAGAAGAAGCACCGGCUAACUACGUG
rnacentral:rRNA from 1 species